UACGGAGGGUGCAAGCGUUGUUCGGAAUCAUUGGGCGUAAAGCGCGUGUAGGCGGCUUGGCAAGUCGGUUGUGAAAGCCCGGGGCCAACCCCGGAACUGCAUCUGAAACUGCCUGGCUAGAGUCCCGGAGAGGAAGGCAGAAUUCCCGGUGUAGGGGUGAAAUCCGUAGAUAUCGGGAGGAAUACCAGCGGCGAAGGCGGCCUUCUGGACGGUGACUGACGCUGAGACGCGAAAGCGUGGGGAGCAAACAGG
rnacentral:rRNA from 1 species